rnacentral:rRNA from 1 species
UCCGUAGGUGAACCUGCGGAAGGAUCAUUAUUGAAUGAAACUUCUGGCUGGAUGCUGUUGUGCUGGUCCUUUGGGGCAAUGUGCACGCCUCUGGCUGUUUGUUUCUUCUGUUCCACCUGUGCACUGUCUGUAGACACACUGUGUCUAUGAUAUAUGGUUACACACACGCAUGAUGUUUUGCAUAUUGGUUGGCAUAUUACAUAUGUAUAUGAUACAUACAACUUUCAGCAACGGAUCUCUUGGCUCUCGCAUCGAUGAAGAACGCAGCGAAAUGCGAUAAGUAAUGUGAAUUGCAGAAUUCAGUGAAUCAUCGAAUCUUUGAACGCAUCUUGCGCUCCUUGGUAUUCCGAGGAGCAUGCCUGUUUGAGUGUCAUUUAAAACUUCUCAACUGCUCCAAAUUUAUUUUGGAUGUGGCUUGGAAAUGGGGGAGUGGUUUUUGCAGGCUUAUGAAAGUCUGCUCUCCUGAAACAUAUUAGUGGUGUCUGGGCAGACUACCACAGGUGUGAUAACUAUCAAUGCCUUGGUAUAUUUGCUGCCGCUUCCAACCUAAAUGAUCAACUUGACCUCAAAUCAGGUAGGAUUACCCGCUGAACUUAAGCAUAUCAAUAAGCGGAGGA